rnacentral:misc_RNA from 1 species
AGCAGCCGCGGUAAUUCCAGCUCCAAUAGCGUAUAUUAAAGUUGUUGUGGUUAAAAGCUCGUAGUUGAACCUUGGGCCUGGCUGGCCGGUCCGCCUCACCGCGUGUACUGGUCCGGCCGGGCCUUUCCCUCUGUGGAACCCCAUGCCCUUCACUGGGUGUGGCGGGGAAACAGGACUUUUACUGUGAAAAAUUGAGUGCUCCAGGCAGGCCUAUGCUCGAAUACAUUAGCAUGGAAUAAUAGAAUAGGACGUGUGGUUCUAUUUUGUUGGUUUCUAGGACCGCCGUAAUGAUUAAUAGGGACAGUCGGGGGCAUCAGUAUUCAAUUGUCAGAGGUGAAAUUCUUGGAUUUAUUGAAGACUAACUACUGCGAAAGCAUUUGCCAAGGAUGUUUUCAUUAAUCAGGAACGAAAGUUAGGGAUCGAAGACGAUCAGAUACCGUGUAGUCUUAACCAUAAACUAUGACCGACUAGGGAUCGGGACGGUGUUAUUUUUGGACCCGUUUCGGCUACCUUACGAGUA